UACGUAGGGACCAAGCGUUGUUCGGAUUUACUGGGCGUAAAGGGCGCGUAGGCGGCAAUUCAAGUCAUCUGUGAAAUCUCCGGGCUUAACCCGGAACGGUCAGAUGAUACUGCUUUGCUAGAGUGCGGAAGGGGCAAUCGGAAUUCUUGGUGUAGCGGUGAAAUGCGUAGAUAUCAAGAGGAACACCUGAGGUGAAGACGGGUUGCUAGACCAUAACUGACGCUGAGGCACGAAAGCGUGGGUAGCAAACAGG
rnacentral:rRNA from 1 species